GCGAAGGUGGCGGAAUUGGUAGACGCGCAGCUUCAGGUGUUAGUGUCCUUACGGACGUGGGGGUUCAAGUCCCCCCCCUCGCACCA
rnacentral:tRNA from 1 species